rnacentral:tRNA from 1 species
AAGAAAUUAGUUAAAUGAAUAAUAUUAACCUGUCAUGUUAAAGUCAUCUUUUAUAAAGAUAUUUCUUG